UUUUAGCCAGAGUUGUUUUCCC
rnacentral:miRNA from 1 species